UCCAGACUCCUACGGGAGGCAGCAGUGGGGGAUAUUGCACAAUGGGGGGAACCCUGAUGCAGCGACGCCGCGUGGGUGAAGAAGCGCCUCGGCGCGUAAAGCCCUGUCAGCAGGGAAGAAAAUGACGGUACCUGAAGAAGAAGCCCCGGCUAACUACGUGCCAGCAGCCGCGGUAAUACGUAGGGGGCAAGCGUUAUCCGGAUUUACUGGGUGUAAAGGGAGCGCAGGCGGCGUGGCAAGUCAGAUGUGAAAACCCGGGGCCCAACCCCGGGAGUGCAUUUGAAACUGCCAUGCUGGAGUGCCGGAGAGGUAAGCGGAAUUCCUAGUGUAGCGGUGAAAUGCGUAGAUAUUAGGAGGAACACCAGUGGCGGAGGCGGCUUACUGGACGGUAACUGACGCUGAGGCUCGAAAGCGUGGGGAGCAAACAGGAUUAGAUACCCUGGUA
rnacentral:rRNA from 1 species